AGUCAAUAGAUACCCAGGUAGUCCACGCCGUAAACGAUGCCGACUCGGUCUUCGUGGGGCGAAUAGCCCUGGGGGGGCCCGAGCUCACGCGCUAAGUCGGCCGCCUGGGGACUACGAGCGCAAGCUUAAAACUCAAAGGAAUUGACGGGGGCCCGCGACAAGCAGCGGAGCGUGUGGUUUAAUUCGACGCAACGCGCAGAACCUUACCCAGAUUUGACUUGCACCUGCAAGCUUCUGAAAGGAAGUCGCCUUCGAGGGUGGUGCACAGAUGCUGCAUGGCUGUCGUCAGCUCGUGUCGUGAGAUGUUGGGUUUAAAGUCCCGCAACGAGCGCAACCCCCGCGGUCAGUUACUAGUGUCUGGCCGGACAGCCCUUCGGGGAGGAAGGCGGGGAUGACGUCAAGUCCGCAUGGCUCUUACGUCUGGGGCGACACACACGCUACAAUGGCGCCGACAGCGCGCAGCGACCCUGCGA
rnacentral:rRNA from 1 species